ACACGUAGUAGCUGCAGAAACAGCAGACAAGGCAACUGGCAGUGAAUGGGAUGUGACCAACGCACUGGAAAAACACUGAUAUUUACAGACAAAAAAAACAUCUCUCUUGUCUCUACCCAUCAGCCACUGCAGCAAAGGUGGCAGUUACCAUGGCAACAGGGGCAGACAUCAAAAAGGGCUUUCUCCGUAUGAUAAGCUGUGACUGCCAGACCAUCAAACUUUCAUGAGGGUAAUUGAGAUAAAACUAAAAUGGAAGAGUAGAGCUUUUUCUUUAAACCUUGGCGGAGAAGGUGAAGAAAACAUGCUCAAGGUGUG